rnacentral:tmRNA from 1 species
GGGGGUGCACUGGUUUCGCCAGGAGUACUGAAGGAUUGAGUGCGUGUCUGGGUUGGUCGGCAGGCCCAGUAAAAAGCCGCCCAAAUGUAUUCGGAAACGAAACAGAAUUUGCAAUGGCAGCAUAGUCCCAACGAUUAUGCGCAUGCUGCGGGGCCUACACCAAUAACAAAAAGUAGGUAAAGAGGACUGAGGGUCCUCGAUAAAAUAAGCCUCGCGAGGCAGUCGGGAAUCCUCGUAAAACAGUCACCGAGGUUUGUAAGUGGCACGAAACUUUCACAGCCGUUCCUUGCUCUAAUGGAACUACACACGUAGGACUCUCUACUGGAACUGCUCUUGCACGUCGGUUCGAUUCCGACCACCUCCACCA